rnacentral:rRNA from 1 species
UACGUAGGGUGCAAGCGUUAUCCGGAUUCAUUGGGCGUAAAGAGUUGCGUAGGCUGAUCAGUGCAUCUUGCUUAAAAUGCUAUGGCUUAACCAUAGUUUGGGCAAGAUAUGACUGAUCUAGAAGGAAGUGGGGGUACUAGAACCGAUGGUGAAGCAGUGAAAUGUGUUGAGAUCAUCGGGAAUACCAAAGGCGUAGGCAGGUACCUAAUUUUCUCUUGACGCUGAGGCACGAAAGCUUGGGGAGCGAAAAGG